GGAGGGAGCGAGCGUUGUUCGGAAUUACUGGGCGUAAAGCGCGCGUAGGCGGUCGAGUAAGUCGGGUGUGAAAUUCCGGGGCUCAACCCCGUGGACUGCACUCGAUACUGCUCGACUCGAGAGAGGUAGGGGCGAGUGGAAUUCCCGGUGUAGCGGUGGAAUGCGUAGAUAUCGGGAAGAACACCGGUGGCGAAGGCGGCUCGCUGGGCCUCAUCUGACGCUGAAGCGCGAAAGCGUGGGGAGCAAACAGGGAUUAGAUACCCUGGUAGUCCACGCCGUAAACGAUGGGUACUAGGUGUUGGGAGGAUUGACCCCUUUCAGUGCCGACGCUAACGCAUUAAGUACCCCGCCUGGGGGAGUACGGCCGCAAGGCUG
rnacentral:rRNA from 1 species